rnacentral:tRNA from 1 species
GCCCCAGUAGCUCAGGGGAUAGAGCACCGGCCUCCGGAGCCGGGAGCGCAGGUUCGAAUCCUGCCUGGGGCACCG